UGGUGAUGUUGAUGCUUAAGCUCUCUUUCUUCGUUCUUAUCAACAAUGAUGGAAAUAAAAGAUCCAUCUUCUUCAUCUUUCUGAAACUUUGAUGAAGCAGCCUUUUUCACAUAAUCUUGAGCAAACUCAUCAUUCUUCUGGACCUUUUUAUCUGCUUCUUCUAUUAGUUUUCUUCUGUGUAGUUUCUCUUCUGCAUCCUGCAAGAACUUGAAUUUUGGAGGUGGAGAUGACCUCAUCUUGUUAAACUCUGCAUCUGCUGCUGAUUCAAAAUGAUGGUUGAAUCUACUUUGGUUGUAGCCAGUGUUCAUAGGAGUAAGAGGAGGUGUGAAAAAUGAUGGAGAAGCAAUAGGAGUUAGAUAUGGAGUCUCCAUAUUGAGAAGCAAGUCACUCAAGCUCCUACUUCUUGACCCUUUUGCACUCUUGUUAUCACCUCUAGACUUUGCAUCUUCUGACUCUAAAUCCUCCUUCGUUUCUUCAAUAAUUGUGAAUAGAAAUCUUGGUGGAC
rnacentral:misc_RNA from 1 species